UUCUAGCCCCGAUUGAAGCAAUUGUUUGAGCUCUUUUUUGUUUUUUUCAAACAAAAAAAGCGAGUGCGGAAAGCGGGAAAUAGC
rnacentral:sRNA from 1 species